AUUAAUUUGAGUUGUCUUAACUUAGAAAAACUAAGUAAGCUGGAAGUUUUGCAUCUCAGUGCGGAAGGAUGAAAGAUGUGUUUUGAAAAUGCCACGUCACUACCGUCCUCCGCAUUUUUUAUGGAAUAUGUUGAGCAAACCUGGAGAAGCGUCAGCUCAAGGUAUUAUUGUUGUCAUUGCUGUGGAUCUUUACCUGAUACACUGACUUGGCUUGGGACCAGCACUCCUGCUGUUGGACAGAAAGACAUCAACUCAGUGGACAACAGGAGAGAUGAGUCCUCCGUCACAGAUGGUGUGGUCAGUGAAGAUGGUUGCCUGCAGGUUCAAGCUCAUUGCAUCUCCAACCCACAUCCACUGCCACUGUACUUAAGGGAAGUUAAAGACUUUCUUCUGCACCUACAUUGGAUCACCUCGAUCCAUGAUAGUCAUUCAGGCAGUAAUGCCUGGACUGGAAACAAGCAUCCUUAAAAUAAUACAACAUUCCAGCUCCUGUGUUGGAAGGAAAAACAAAUGUGUUGUUUAAAUUAGAGACUGCACUUGUGACAGAACAACAAAUAUUUUAUUUUGAUUAUAUAAGUAAUGUAAGUACAAAACAAACUUG
ensembl:lncRNA